rnacentral:rRNA from 1 species
CCGUGUACGUACAAGCAGUGGGAGCACAGGUUUACCUGUGUGACUGCGUACCUUUUGUAUAAUGGGUCAGCGACUUAUAUUCUGUAGCAAGGUUAACCGAAUAGGGGAGCCGGAGGGAAACCGAGUCUUAAUUGGGCGUUAAGUUGCAGGGUAUAGACCCGAAACCCGGUGAUCUAGCCAUGGGCAGGUUGAAGGUUGGGUAACACUAACUGGAGGACCGAACCGACUAAUGUUGAAAAAUUAGCGGAUGACCUGUGGCUGGGGGUGAAAGGCCAAUCAAACCGGGAGAUAGCUGGUUCUCCCCGAAAGCUAUUUAGGUAGCGCCUCGUGAAUUCAUCUCCGGGGGUAGAGCACUGUUUCGGCUAGGGGGCCAUCCCGGCUUACCAACCCGAUGCAAACUGCGAAUACCGGAGAAUGUUAUCACGGGAGACACACGGCGGGUGCUAACGUCCGUCGUGAAGAGGGAAACAACCCAGACCGCCAGCUAAGGUCCCAAAGUCAUGGUUAAGUGGGAAACGAUGUGGGAAGGCCCAGACAGCCAGGAUGUUGGCUUAGAAGCAGCCAUCAUUUAAAGAAAGCGUAAUAGCUCACUGGUCGAGUCGGCCUGCGCGGAAGAUGUAACGGGGCUAAACCAUGCACCGAAGCUGCGGCAGCGACACUGUGUGUUGUUGGGUAGGGGAGCGUUCUGUAAGCCUGUGAAGGUGUGUCGUGAGGC